rnacentral:rRNA from 1 species
GAUGAACGCUGACAGAAUGCUUAACACAUGCAAGUCCACUUGAACUUCGGUUUGGGUGGCGGACGGGUGAGUAACGCGUACAGAACUUGCCUCACAGCUAGGGACAACAUUUGGAAACGAAUGCUAAUACCUGAUAUUAUGAUUAUAUGGCAUCGUAUAAUUAUGAAAGCUAUAUGCGCUGUGAGAGAGCUUUGCGUCCCAUUAGCUAGUUGGAGAGGUAACAGCUCACCAAGGCGAUGAUGGGUAGCCGGCCUGAGAGGGUGAUCGGCCACAAGGGGACUGAGACACGGCCCCUACUCCUACGGGAGGCAGCAGUGGGGAAUAUUGGACAAUGGACCGAGAGUCUGAUCCAGCAAUUCUGUGUGCACGAUGAAGUUUUUCGGAAUGUAAAGUGCUUUCAGUUGGGAAGAAAAAAAUGACGGUACCAACAGAAGAAGUGACGGCUAAAUACGUG